UACGAAGGGGGCUAGCGUUGCUCGGAAUCACUGGGCGUAAAGGGCGCGUAGGCGGCCACGCACGUCCGUUGUGAAAUCGCCCGGCUCAACUGGGCGGGGUCAGCGGAUACGGUGUGGCUCGAGCAAGCUAGGGGGCAAUGGAAUUCCCGGUGUAGUGGUGGAAUGCGUAGAUAUCGGGAGGAACACCAGUGGCGAAGGCGGCUUGCCAGAACGCGCUCGACGGUGAGGGAUGAAAGCUGGGGGAGCAAACCGG
rnacentral:rRNA from 1 species